GGUGAAUGACAGGUGAGAGGGAGGUGUAAAUACUCUAGCUUCCUUGGCCCCUGGCCAGGACAGCAGUGACAGUACACAGGAAGAUCUGGAGAGAGAGGCCUUGUUUUCGCCAUCAACGCACAGAUCUGAGGGCGGCCUAGUGAGCACAUCCCCCCACCUCCCCCCACCGCGGGAGUGUUUGUGUUGGAGGCGGGAGUGUUAAAUUCCAACCUCAGCACAACUCUUGAAGACUCUGCCAGUUCAGGGGCAAGAAACCAACUGGGUGUUGUGCCUAAGAACGUGGACCCUGUGGCCAGACUGCUUGGAUCAGUGUCCUCCCUCCACCACUUUGUAGCCAUCUGACCUCAGGC